rnacentral:rRNA from 1 species
CCUACGGGUGGCAGCAGUGAGGAAUAUUGGUCAAUGGGCGGGAGCCUGAACCAGCCAAGUCGCGUGCGGGAUGAAGGCCCUACGGGUCGUAAACCGCUUUUGCACGGGAGUAACGCGCUCCACGUGUGGAGGUCUUCAGGUACCGUGCGAAUAAGGGCCGGCUAAUUCCGUGCCAGCAGCCGCGGUAAUACGGAAGGCCCGAGCGUUAUCCGGAUUUAUUGGGCUUAAAGGGAGCGUAGGCGGAAUUUCAAGUCAGCGGUAAAAUCGCGGGGCUCAACCCCGCCCCGCCGUUGAAACUGGCGGCCUUGAGUGCACAAGAGGUAGGCGGAAUGCGUGGUGUAGCGGUGAAAUGCAUAGAUAUCACGCAGAACUCCGAUUGCGAAGGCAGCCUGCCGGGGCGCGACUGACGCUCAGGCACGAAGGUGUGGGUAUCAAACAGGAUUAGAUACCCUGGUAGUC